rnacentral:rRNA from 1 species
GUGCUUGGGCGAGAGUAGUACUAGGAUGGGUGACCCCCUGGGAAGUCCUCGUGUUGCACCCCCCCUCCCCCCUUCUUUUUACAUUUUCUUUAGCUUUUUCAGGGGAAUGUGCCGAAAGGAAACGCGCGUACGAGUGAACGCGACUUAGAAAAAGAGCACGCGCGUCGAAAAACUCACGACGUGCGGCACCGACCCGCGGAAAUAUAGGCACAAAACCGGAUAAUCACAACGGUUGGGAAUAUAGGAGUAAAAAGGGAUGAGGAAAA